AGGGGAGUGAAAUAGAACCUGAAACCGUAUGCAUACAAACAGUGGGAGCCUCCUUGUGGGGUGACUGCGUACCUUUUGUAUAAUGGGUCAGCGACUUACGUUAUGUUGCGAGCUUAACCGAAUAGGGGAGGCGCAGCGAAAGCGAGUCUGAUAAGGGCGUUAAGUAGCAUGGCGUAGACCCGAAACCGGAUGAUCUAUCCAUGGCCAGGAUGAAGUUGCGGUAACACGCAAUGGAGGUCCGAACCCACUGACGUUGAAAAGUCAGGGGAUGAGCUGUGGAUAGGGGUGAAAGGCUAAACAAAUCCGGAAAUAGCUGGUUCUCCCCGAAAACUAUUUAGGUAGUGCGUCUUGUAUCACUGACGGGGGUAAAGCACUGUUAUGGCUAGGGGGUCAUCGCGACUUACCAAACCAUGGCAAACUCUGAAUACCGUCAAGUGCGAGCAAGGCAGACAGACAGUGGGUGCUAACGUCCAUUGUCAAGAGGGAAACAACCCAGACCGCCAGCUAAGGUCCCAAAGACA
rnacentral:rRNA from 1 species